rnacentral:rRNA from 1 species
GACGAACGCUGGCGGCGUGCUUAACACAUGCAAGUCGAACGGAAAGGCCCUGCUUUUGUGGGGUGCUCGAGUGGCGAACGGGUGAGUAACACGUGAGUAACCUGCCCUUUACUUUGGGAUAACUUCAUGAAACUGGGGCUAAUACCGGAUAGGAGCUCCUGCUGCAUGGUGGGGGUUGGAAAGUUUCGGCGGUUGGGGAUGGACUCGCGGCUUAUCAGCUUGUUGGUGGGGUAGUGGCUUACCAAGGCUUUGACGGGUAGCCGGCCUGAGAGGGUGACCGGCCACAUUGGGACUGAGAUACGGCCCAGACUCCUACGGGAGGCAGCAGUGGGGAAUAUUGCACAAUGGGCGGAAGCCUGAUGCAGCAACGCCGCGUGCGGGAUGACGGCCUUCGGGUUGUAAACCGCUUUCGCCUGUGACGAAGCGUGAGUGACGGUAAUGGGUAAAGAAGCACCGGCUAACUACGUG